GGGGUAAUGGUGAGUGUUGCCAACUGGGACAGGAGGACACCCAGCUCGUGCCCAGUUUUUAUUUAUCCCAGUGCAGCAGGGCUCCACAGGCUUUUUGAUCCUUAAUCAUGAACCUGGGAGCCCUUCGAGUUUUCUCAAGCAGCCACGCCAAGAAGGCUCUCUGAUUCCAUUGGCAAUAACCAGUCAUGAUUUAUGGACUCUCGGAACCUGGAACAUCAGAGCUGGAGACCUCUUUGGCCACAGUAAGAAGAGAUGGAGACGAUCACUGAGGGUCUGUUGCAAUUGUCCCAGAAGAACAGGACAGCCAGUGAAUGUUCAAAUCUAUAAAUCAGAUCAUGUCAACCCCUUGCUUAGGACUCUUCCCCCACCCGGUUACUCUUCAUCACAAAUUCCUGUUGUUAUUUUUUAAAUAGUACUCAUUAAGGUAUUAAAUCAUUUAUUUGUUUGCAUGUGAA